UUUCAAACUAAAAAAAGAAAAAAUUCAGAAUAACAUCUUACUUCCCUUAUACUUGAGCGGAAAAACGGUGUCAAAGUUCACGUUUUCCGUUGUAGCCCAGAAACACAUCAUCCCAACAAACAUUUAGGGUAGACAACGAUUAGAAAACGACUCGAAUUCUAAUGUUUCUCUAAGGUAGAAGGUGAGAAGACGAUUAGAGAAGCUGUCGAGAAUUAUAGCAUUAUCUACAAGGGGACUUAAUUCUCAAUAUCGAGAAAGAAAUAAGAUAUCUAAUCGCUUUCUAACGUACAAUUCUAAUUGGUUUCUAAUGUCUAAUGUUUUUUCUAAUCGAAUUCUAACAUAGUUCUCUAACUUGAUUUUCAAUUCGAGAACUACAUUAGAAUGCUAAUGUAAAACCAAACUAUUUCUCCAACGUUGUGUGUGUUUCACUGGGAUAUGUAUAAUUAAAAAAA